GCGGCGGACGGGUGAGUAAUGCCUAGGAAAUUGCCCUGAUGUGGGGGAUAACCAUUGGAAACGAUGGCUAAUACCGCAUGAUGCCUACGGGCCAAAGAGGGGGACCUUCGGGCCUCUCGCGUCAGGAUAUGCCUAGGUGGGAUUAGCUAGUUGGUGAGGUAAGGGCUCACCAAGGCGACGAUCCCUAGCUGGUCUGAGAGGAUGAUCAGCCACACUGGAACUGAGACACGGUCCACACUACUACGGGAGGCAGCAGUGGGGAAUAUUGCACAAUGGGCGCAAGCCUGAUGCAGCCAUGCCGCGUGUGUGAAGAAGGCCUUCGGGUUGUAAAGCACUUUCAGUCGUGAGGAAGGUAGUGUAGUUAAUAGCUGCAUUAUUUGACGUUAGCGACAGAAGAAGCACCGGCUAACUCCGUGCCAGCAGCCGCGGUAAUACGGAGGGUGCGAGCGUUAAUCGGAAUUACUGGGCGUAAAGCGCAUGCAGGUGGUUUGUUAAGUCAGAUGUGAAAGCCCGGGGCUCAACCUCGGAAUAGCAUUUGAAACUGGCAGACUAGAGUACUGUAGAGGGGGGUAGAAUUUCAGGUGUAGCGGUGAAAUGCGUAGAGAUCUGAAGGAAUACCGGUGGCGAAGGCGGCCCCCUGGACAGAUACUGACACUCAGAUGCGAAAGCGUGGGGAGCAACCAGGAUUAGAUACCCUGGUAGUCCACGCCGUAAACGAUGUCUACUUGGAGGUUGUGGCCUUGAGCCGUGGCUUUCGGAGCUAACGCGUUAAGUAGACCGCCUGGGGAGUACGGUCGCAAGAUUAAAACUCAAAUGAAUUGACGGGGGCCCGCACAAGCGGUGGAGCAUGUGGUUUAAUUCGAUGCAACGCGAAGAACCUUACCUACUCUUGACAUCCAGAGAACUUUCCAGAGAUGGAUUGGUGCCUUCGGGAACUCUGAGACAGGUGCUGCAUGGCUGUCGUCAGCUCGUGUUGUGAAAUGUUGGGUUAAGUCCCGCAACGAGCGCAACCCUUAUCCUUGUUUGCCAGCGAGUAAUGUCGGGAACUCCAGGGAGACUGCCGGUGAUAAACCGGAGGAAGGUGGGGACGACGUCAAGUCAUCAUGGCCCUUACGAGUAGGGCUACACACGUGCUACAAUGGCGCAUACAGAGGGCGGCCAACUUGCGAAAGUGAGCGAAUCCCAAAAAGUGCGUCGUAGUCCGGAUUGGAGUCUGCAACUCGACUCCAUGAAGUCGGAAUCGCUAGUAAUCGUGGAUCAGAAUGCCACGGUGAAUACGUUCCCGGGCCUUGUACACACCGCCCGUCACACCAUGGGAGUGGGCUGCAAAAGAAGUAGGUAGUUUAAC
rnacentral:rRNA from 1 species